UCCACUGUCAAGUUAUUUCAAGUUAGGAGAAUGAAUUGAUUGAUGUACAUAACUCUCUGUGGGUUCAGGAAUACCUGCUUGAAUGAACCAACUCGAAUAGUACAAAUCAACACGCCUUGGUCUAUCUCGCCUUGGGACAGAAGAGCAUUGAACACCCUGGUUUAAUCAGGACAACAAAAAAAUGGGAACUGCACAAACACCACGUUCACAACAUUAUUCACCAUGUGAAACUUUCAAAGUUGUCACAGAAGAGUAGACCAUGGAGAUGUUUUGUCUCUUCUCACCUUUCUUACCCAAUGCAACACCAUUGCUCCUGUGGCGGGGCACUCGUCUAGAAUCGAUGCAUGCACCAUCAUAUCAUCCCAUUUCAGGCGAAACUCAUCGUCCCAGAAGAAGUCCCUCAACAACUCUGGCGUGGCGUCUUCAUAAACCGUUCUGCUACAAUACUGAGGAGGACCAGUCUAGCCAAAACAGCCAAGAGAAAUGAAUCAGCAUUCCAUCUAUUUAAACAAGAGUUUCAUAUACACAAAAGGAAACCUUGACCAAAGUUAUGGAUUAUGGAUUACCUUUGGAUCCCUCUGCCAUGCCUGAUAACUCAAACCGGGGAUAGAACGAUCCAUCAUAUGCUUCCAACAUGGCCCUCCAUCUCUUCUCUCCACAAGAUGGCAAAAAUGUUCUAAAUCCUCAUCCGUAAUAACAUUAAUAUUCGCUCUUUCA